GACGUAGGGCGCGAGCGUUGUCCGGAUUUAUUGGGCGUAAAGAGCUCGUAGGCGGCUCGUUGCGUCGGCUGUGAAAACCCGCAGCUCAACUGUGGGCUUGCAGCUGAUACGGGCGGGCUGGGAUUCGGUAGGGGAGCCUGGAAUUCCUGGUGUAGCGGUGAAAUGCGCAGAUAUCAGGAGGAACACCGGUGGCGAAGGCGGGUCUCUGGGCCGAUAUCGACGCUGAGGAGCGAAAGCGUGGGGAGCGAACAGG
rnacentral:rRNA from 1 species